rnacentral:rRNA from 1 species
UGGUGGAGUGAUUUGUCAGCCUAAUCGCGAUAACGAACGAGACCUUAACCUGCUAAAUAGCCCGUGUUGCUUUGGCAGCACGCUGGCUUCUUAGAGGGACUAUCGGCUCAAGCCGAUGGAAGUUUGAGGCAAUAACA